AAAGAUGGUUUUAUUGUAUAUUGCUUUUCUUUAUUAGGGUCGUGGCUGCUUUGAUUGACUGGUGGCUGCUGUGGCUGUCACUGCUAGCUUUCUGUCCACCGUCUGUUUGCCUCUAAAACAGUCACAGAGCUUUGCAUCUGUACUGUUUGAGCCUUGUAGACAUUUCUUCAUGCAAAUACCGGAUGAAUAAUGGCUGGCUGUGCAGUUAAUGGUAGAGAGAGAGCAUUCAGGAAUCCUGUGUUCCAGUUGCACUGCUGAUUGCAGAACACAUCCAGAUGAAACACAGUCCAGCUCUACAGGAAAUAACAGUUCCAGCUUCCUGUGUGGCUCUAUCAGAUCCUGUACAUUACUGCUUGUUUAGCCUUUUCUUUUAACUUUUACUCCACAACACCUGAACACUACUAAUGUUAAAUUAUGACACUGGGUUAGCUAGCAUUAAAAUUACUGUUACAACAACAAGUCAUACAAAACUACUUUUUAAUUUUUAACCUUUAAAUAUUGGUGCUUUCAUGAAUGCAAGAUAUAUAUUUAAGUUGUUAAACUAUGUCUUGUGUAUUGGGAAAAAUUUGUUAUAUAAAAUUGAUCAGACUAAAUAUCCUGAAAAUAAAAUCAGUUUCCUAUGUAAAUGCUCCGUA